rnacentral:rRNA from 1 species
AUUGAACGCUGGCGGCAUGCUUUACACAUGCAAGUCGAGCGGCAGCGCGGGGGCAACCCUGGCGGCGAGCGGCGAACGGGUGAGUAAUGCAUCGGAACGUAUCCUCGAGUGGGGGAUAACCCAGCGAAAGUUGGGCCAAUACCGCAUGAGCUCUGAGGAGGAAAGCGGGGGACCUGCGAGGGCCUCGCGCUGGAGGAGCGGCCGAUGUCCGAUUAGCUAGUUGGUGGGGUAAAGGCUUACCAAGGCGACGAUCGGUAGCUGGUCUGAGAGGAUGAUCAGCCACACUGGGACUUAGACACGGCCCAGACUCCUACGGGAGGCAGCAGUGGGGAAUUUUGGACAAUGGGGGCAACCCUGAUCCAGCCAUGCCGCGUGAGUGAAGAAGGCCUUCGGGUUGUAAAGCUCUUUCGGACGGAACGAAAUGGGCGGGACUAAUACUCCUGUCUGAUGACGGUACCGUAAGAAGAAGCACCGGCUAACUACGUG